rnacentral:rRNA from 1 species
GAAUAUUGGACAAUGGGGGCAACCCUGAUCCAGCCAUGCCGCGUGUGUGAAGAAGGCUUUCGGGUUGUAAAGCACUUUCAGCGAGGAGGAAGGCCUUAAAGUUAAUACCUUUGAGGAUUGACGUUACUCGCCGAAGAAGCACCGGCUAACUCCGUGCCCGCAGCCGCGGUAAUACGGAGGGUGCAAGCGUUAAUCGGAAUUACUGGGCGUAAAGCGCGCGUAGGUGGCUUGAUAAGCCGGUUGUGAAAGCCCCGGGCUCAACCUGGGAACGGCAUCCGGAACUGUCAAGCUAGAGUGCAGGAGAGGAAGGUAGAAUUCCCGGUGUAGCGGUGAAAUGCGUAGAGAUCGGGAGGAAUACCAGUGGCGAAGGCGGCCUUCUGGACUGACACUGACACUGAGGUGCGAAAGCGUGGGUAGCAAACAGG